CUGAAGGCCCGGCAAGAAUAACAGGCAGUGCAGGACCCAAGCAGGCAGCAGACACAGACUGGAUCUCGUCAAGUGCUUUAGCUGAAAAAUGCCCAGAAAACAUGCUCUGCGCAAGGCCAAGGACGCCUGCUCCCUAAGACCAAGAGAUGGUCAAUCUGUUCCCUUAGUUGAAUAACCAGUCCUGGAAAGAAAGUAAGCGGAGAGGCCUCAAAGUAAAUCAAACACAUAGCAUAUACAGUUCUGACCCUCCGGGGCCCCACCCCACUCAGCGAAACAGAAGUUCCACAGUGGGCCAGACAGUGGCCGUGCAGCCUCACCCAUGUUGAGUCUACCACUCUGAGUGAAAAUGCCCAACAAAACUGGGUCUACUGAGAGGAUCCCGCUGCCAGGGAAAUGAGAUUUUUCUCAUAUCAUUUAAAAUGAAAUGAUUGUUAGAAGCCAUCUGAAGCAAAACGAGAGUUAAGGGGAAACAGGCUAAGAAAACAGAAAUAGAGCCACUUCACUAUUUUGCUUAAUUUGUAACACCUUCAGCAAGAUCUUCAAACUAGAAAAGCUGGAGAUAAAGAAGGGUAUUCUUAACAACUUCAAGGCCCAAGUGAAUUACUCCCACUGCAAUGAAAAGCAAUUACAUAUGUUUCUGUGGA